UACGUAGGGGGCAAGCGUUGUCCGGAAUCAUUGGGCGUAAAGCGCGUGUAGGCGGCCCGGUAAGUCCGCUGUGAAAGUCGGGGGCUCAACCCUCGGAUGCCGGUGGAUACUGUCGGGCUCGAGUACGGAAGAGGCGAGUGGAAUUCCUGGUGUAGCGGUGAAAUGCGCAGAUAUCAGGAGGAACACCAAUUGCGAAGGCAGCUCGCUGGGACGUUACUGACGCUGAGACGCGAAAGCGUGGGGAGCGAACAGG
rnacentral:rRNA from 1 species